GGUGCUGGAAAAAGUUUAGUAGGAGUAACAGCUUGUUGUACGGUCCGAAAACGUGCAUUAGUCCUUUGCAAUUCAGCAGUAUCAGUAGAACAAUGGAAAUAUCAAUUUAAAAUGUGGUCAACAGGUAUUUAUUUUCAGAUUAAAAUUUGUAGAUAGUUCCUAAAUAAUAAGGUUUAUUACUUAGCUGAUGAUAGCUUGGUAUGCAGAUUUACUUCUGACGUUAAGGACAAAUUAAUGGGCUGUGGUGUGUUCAUUACAACCUAUUCAAUGAUAACACAUACACAAAAGAGAUCUUGGGAAGCUGAACAAACAAUGAAGUGGAUUCAAGAACAAGAAUGGGGUAUUAUGGUUCUGGAUGGUAAGAAGUAAUAUUUAAUAAAUACUUUUACAAUAUUAUGUACUUUUAUUUUAAUAAUUUAGAAGUGCAUACUAUACCUGCUAAAAUGUUCAGACGUGUAUUGACAAUGGUUCAAUCACAUUGCAAAUUGGGUCUAACGGCCACACUAUUACGUGAAGACGAUAAAAUUGCAGAUUUAAACUUUUUAAUUGGACCUAAACUAUUUGAAGCUAACUGGUUAGAACUACAACAACGAGGUUACAUAGCUAAAGUACAAUGUUCAGAAGUAUGGUGUCCUAUGGCGCCAGAAUUUUAUCGUGAAUAUUUGGCAUCUAGAACUUGUAAAAAAUUGGUAAUUAUAUAAGGUUAGACAUCUUUAAUCAUAGACUAUUUUAUUGAUUUUUUAUUUUAAAGCUUUUUUCUGUGAUGAAUCCCAACAAAUUCCGUGCUCUUCAAUUUUUAAUACGUUAUCACGAAGAAAGAGGAGACAAAACUAUUGUAUUCUCUGAUAAUGUCUUUGCACUUCAAUUAUAUUCUAAAAAAUUGAAUAAACCUUUUAUUUAUGGACCAACAUCUCAGGUAAUAAAUUCUAAUUCUAAUCAGUUUUUUAUUUAUUACAAAUUAUUUUAAAUAAAAACAGCAAGUACAAUAUUUUACCUAAUAGUAAAUUUAUGUAUAUGGAUAUAAAAAUAUGUAGUAUGUAUUUAUAUUGUUUUUACUAUAGGCAGAAAGAAUACAUAUAUUACAAAAUUUUAAAUUAAAUACAAAAAUAAAUACAAUAUUUGUCAGUAAAGUUGCAGACACAUCAUUUGAUUUGCCUGAUGCUAAUGUUUUAAUUCAAAUCUCUUCUCAUGGUGGGAGUCGACGCCAAGAAGCUCAACGUUUAGGUCGUAUUUUACGUGCUAAAAAGACCGCUGUUACUGAUGAGUAUAAUGCAUUCUUCUACACCUUAGUCUCACAAGACACAAUGGAAAUGAGUUAUUCAAGAAAACGUCAGAGGUUUCUCAUCGAUCAAGGCUACAGUUAUAAAGUUAUUACAAAGCUUGCUGGAAUGGAUGAGGUAAAUCACAUCAAAAAUUUAGAUCUUUCAGUAUAUAUAUGUUCAUUUUUUAUCUAUAGUGUAUUCUCAUUUCAGGAUCCAGAGCUUUAUUAUUCUAGUCGUGAAGAUCAAAACUCAUUGUUAAAUGAAGUUUUAAAAGCCAGUGAAGCAGAUGCAGAGGAAGAACGAAUGCCAUAUGAGGGCUCUACUAGGUCGUAUAAGAAAAUGACAGACAGAUCGAGGUCUGGUGUUGAUGAUUCUAGAUAUUCUUCUGUUAAGCAUCCAUUAUUUAGAAAGUUUAGAAAAUAAUUUGUUUGCAAUGCACUGAUAUUAAGUUUAUUAAACCUAUAUUUUUCAACUAUUUUAAUAAAUUCUAAAAUAUAAAAGAAUUAUACAAUUUUUGUUUCAUUUUAAAAGUACUGAAUUUGAUAUUAUACUAGCUGCAUUACCCAGCUCGCGUGCAGUUUACAUAUAGCUACAUACUUGCUGUACAUAUUUAAUCACCUAUUAAAUAUAAUAUUAUUUAAAACAUUAAAUAAAAACUGUCUGAUUUAAUGGCAUAUUACAUAAUUACGAUAUUUCCUACAUCAAAGUGAAGAGAAAGAAAUUAUUUAUUGCAAAUAUAUCUGUAGAACAUUUAAUUAUAAAAAACAUUAACUAUCUCACACAAUAUAAUACC
rnacentral:lncRNA from 1 species